GAUGUCGGCUCAUCACAUCCUGGGGCUGAAGUAGGUCCCAAGGGUAUGGCUGUUCGCCAUUUAAAGUGGUACGCGAGCUGGGUUUAGAACGUCGUGAGACAGUUCGGUCCCUAUCUGCCGUGGGCGCUGGAGAAUUGAGGGGGGCUGCUCCUAGUACGAGAGGACCGGAGUGGACGCAUCACUGGUGUUCGGGUUGUCAUGCCAAUGGCACUGCCCGGUAGCUAAAUGCGGAAGAGAUAAGUGCUGAAAGCAUCUAAGCACGAAACUUGCCCCGAGAUGAGUUCUCCCUGAGACUUUAAGUCUCCUGAAGGAACGUUAAAGACGAUGACGUUGAUAGGCCGGGUGUGUAAGCGCAGCGAUGCGUUGAGCUAACCGGUACUAAUGAACCGUGAGGCUUAACCUUACAACGCCGAAG
rnacentral:rRNA from 1 species